CCCGAGUCUCACUUUGCCGCGCCCCCUCCCUGCGCCCCGCUGCCGCGUCUUUGCUUGCAACCUGACCUCACCUUUCCUCGCUAAGCGGUUUGAGAUCCUCAAGUGUAAACAGGACUCUCCCUGGAGGCUGCUCCUCCGGGCCCCUCCCCGCGGCCCGACCGUCGCUCGCUUCUCUCCCCGGACGGCGGCCGCCUCUGUUUUCUCGUUCCCUCCCCUCAGCUGGCUUUCAGCUUUCUUUUCUCUUCAUCGUCCCCUUCCCGCAUACACACUGAAAGAAUCUCGAAUUCCUAAAAAUUAGAAGCGGGGCAGGACUAGCCUUCGAAAAAGCCGAGGCUGGGCAUUGCAUGGCAUUGCGUCGAGCUGUCCUCGCCCUCAUCAGCUCCCUUCCCCGGCCCCAUCCGUUCGCCCUUGCCUCUCUUCCAGCCUUCCUCUAAUUUCCCCAGGGAACCUGCGGAGUGUCGCUUUGGGAAAUUAACGCGGCCGGGGUUUGGGGGCUGGGAGCCCUAUCUUGUGUGUGACCUGAAGGAGAAGAAGGAGAAGGUGGAGGAGAAGGCAAGCCGGAAAGAGCG
rnacentral:lncRNA from 10 species